UGUGAACGUUACCAAACUGUUGACUCGGCGGGGUCACGCCCCGGGUGCGUAAAAGCCCCGGAACCAGGCGCCCGCCGGAGGAACCAACCAAACUCUUUCUGUAGUCCCCUCGCGGACGUAUUUCUUACAGCUCUGAGCAAAAAUUCAAAAUGAAUCAAAACUUUCAACAACGGAUCUCUUGGUUCUGGCAUCGAUGAAGAACGCAGCGAAAUGCGAUAAGUAAUGUGAAUUGCAGAAUUCAGUGAAUCAUCGAAUCUUUGAACGCACAUUGCGCCCGCCAGUAUUCUGGCGGGCAUGCCUGUCCGAGCGUCAUUUCAACCCUCGAACCCCUCCGGGGGAUCGGCGUUGGGGAUCGGGACCCCUCACCGGGUGCCGGCCCUGAAAUACAGUGGCGGUCUCGCCGCAGCCUCUCCUGCGCAGUAGUUUGCACAACUCGCACCGGGAGCGCGGCGCGUCCACGUCCGUAAAACACCCAACUUCUGAAAUGUUGACCUCGGAUCAGGUAGGAAUACCCGCUGAACUUAAGCAUAUCAAUAAGCGGAGGGAACGA
rnacentral:rRNA from 1 species